AGGAAUUUAGGUUAACAUCCCAGACCAAGANCCUUCAAAGCUCUAAGCAAGU
rnacentral:tRNA from 1 species